GCAGCAGCCCGGGAAUACAGAGGGUGCGAGCGUUAAUCGGAUUUACUGGGCGUAAAGCGUGCGUAGGCGGCUUUUUAAGUCGGAUGUGAAAUCCCUGAGCUUAACUUAGGAAUUGCAUUCGAUACUGGGAAGCUAGAGUAUGGGAGAGGAUGGUAGAAUUCCAGGUGUAGCGGUGAAAUGCGUAGAGAUCUGGAGGAAUACCGAUGGCGAAGGCAGCCAUCUGGCCUAAUACUGACGCUGAGGUACGAAAGCAUGGGGAGCAAACAGGAUUAGAGACCCCGGUAGUCCCUGUCUCUUAUACA
rnacentral:rRNA from 1 species